rnacentral:misc_RNA from 1 species
AACUUUUGACAAUGGAUCUCUUGGCUCUCGCAUCGAUGAAGAACGCAGCGAAAUGCGAUAAGUAAUGUGAAUUGCAGAUUUUCAGCGAAUCAUCGAAUCUUUGAACGCACCUUGCGCCCCUUGGUAUUCCGAGGGGCAUGCCUGUUUGAGUGUCAUUGAAAUAUCAACCUUGGGUGGAUUUGCUUCCUCUCCGAUGGUUGGACUUUGGAGAGUGCUGGCGUCAGGUCGGCUCCUCUUAAAUGCAUCAGCGGAAAACUUUGACCUCUGGACGUCAGCGUGAUAAUCACGUUGCGCUGUCGACCGAGGUGUCAUCAUAAGGACCCGCUUCUAAUGGUCUUCGGACAGGACAUCAAAUUUGACCUCAAAUCAGGUAGGACUACCCGCUGAACUUAAGCAUAUCAAUAAGCGGAGGCU